GAUGAUUUUUAGCGACAGGCUUAACACAUGCAAGUCGAGGGGCAGCGAGGGAGUGGCAACUCUUCUGUCGGCGACCGGCGCACGGGUGAGUAACGCGUAUGCAACCUACCCUUCACAGGGGGAUAACCGGGAGAAAUUCCGACUAAUACCGCAUACGUCCUCCGGGGGCAUCCCCGGGGGAUGAAAGAGUUAUCGGUGAAGGAUGGGCAUGCGUGAUAUUAGGUAGUUGGCGGGGCAACGGCCCACCAAGCCCACGAUAUCUAGGGGUUCUGAGAGGAAGGUCCCCCACAUUGGUACUGAGACACGGACCAAACUCCUACGGGAGGCAGCAGUGAGGAAUAUUGGUCAAUGGACGAGAGUCUGAACCAGCCAAGUCGCGUGAAGGAAGACGGAUCUAUGGUUUGUAAACUUCUUUAGUGCGGGAACAAAGCGGUGUCGUGACGCCGGAUGAGUGUACCGCAAGAAUAAGCAUCGGCUAACUCCGUGCCAGCAGCCGCGGUAAUACGGAGGAUGCGAGCGUUAUCCGGAUUUAUUGGGUUUAAAGGGAGCGCAGGCUGCGGGGCAAGUCAGCGGUCAAAUGUCGGGGCUCAACCCCGGCCUGCCGUUGAAACUGUCCUGCUAGAGUUCGAGUGAGGUAUGCGGAAUGCGUUGUGUAGCGGUGAAAUGCAUAGAUAUGACGCAGAACUCCGAUUGCGAAGGCAGCAUACCAACUCGCGACUGACGCUGAGGCUCGAAAGCGUGGGUAUCGAACAGGAUUAGAUACCCUGGUAGUCCACGCAGUAAACGAUGA
rnacentral:rRNA from 1 species